GGUCUUUUUAAUAAGUACAUAGAUAUGUAAACUAAUUUGUAGUAUGGUUAGCAUGAAAUAAAUGUAUUUUAAAUAUAGUUUAGUGUAU